UGGGGAAUAUUGGACAAUGGGCGAAAGCCUGAUCCAGCCAUGCCGCGUGUGUGAAGAAGGCCUUUUGGUUGUAAAGCACUUUAAGCGAGGAGGAGGCUACUUAGAUUAAUACUCUAGGAUAGUGGACGUUACUCGCAGAAUAAGCACCGGCUAACUCUGUGCCAGCAGCCGCGGUAAUACAGAGGGUGCGAGCGUUAAUCGGAUUUACUGGGCGUAAAGCGUGCGUAGGCGGCUUUUUAAGUCGGAUGUGAAAUCCCUGAGCUUAACUUAGGAAUUGCAUUCGAUACUGGGAAGCUAGAGUAUGGGAGAGGAUGGUAGAAUUCCAGGUGUAGCGGUGAAAGGCGUAGAGAUCUGGAGGAAUACCGAUGGCGAAGGCAGCCAUCUGGCCUAAUACUGACGCUGAGGUACGAAAGCAUGGGGAGCAAACAGG
rnacentral:rRNA from 1 species